GCGGAGGAAAAGAAACCAACAGGGAUUGCCCUAGUAACGGCGAGUGAAGCGGCAACAGCUCAAAUUUGAAAGCUAGCCUUCGGGUUCGCAUUGUAAUUUGUAGAGGAUGAUUUGGGGAAGCCGCCUGUCUAAGUUCCUUGGAACAGGACGUCAUAGAGGGUGAGAAUCCCGUAUGUGACAGGAAAUGGCACCCUAUGUAAAUCUCCUUCGACGAGUCGAGUUGUUUGGGAAUGCAGCUCUAAAUGGGAGGUAAAUUUCUUCUAAAGCUAAAUAUUGGCGAGAGACCGAUAGCGCACAAGUAGAGUGAUCGAAAGAUGAAAAGCACUUUGGAAAGAGAGUUAAAAAGCACGUGAAAUUGUUGAAAGGGAAGCGCUUGCAAUCAGACUUGUUUAAACUGUUCGGCCGGUCUUCUGACCGGUUUACUCAGUUUGGACAGGCCAGCAUCAGUUUCGGCGGCCGGAUAAAGGCUCUGGGAAUGUGGCCUCCACUUCGGUGGAGGUGUUAUAGCCCAGGGUGUAAUACGGCCAGCCGGGACUGAGGUCCGCGCUUCGGCUAGGAUGCUGGCGUAAUGGUUGUAAGCGACCCGUCUUG
rnacentral:rRNA from 1 species